ensembl:snoRNA SNORD83 Small nucleolar RNA SNORD83
GCCACGUGAUGAUGUGAUUGAUGUCAGUAGCCGUCUGUGCUGUGAUGACCUCUGAUCUAUCACCCUUUUCUGAUGGCU